GAUCAUGGCUCAGGACGAACGCUGGCGGCGCGCCUAACACAUGCAAGUCGAACGAGCGAGAGAAAGCUUGCUUUCUCAAGCGAGUGGCGAACGGGUGAGUAACGCGUGAGGAACCUGCCUCAAAGAGGGGGACAACAGUUGGAAACGACUGCUAAUACCGCAUAAGCCCACGGCUCGGCAUCGAGCAGAGGGAAAAGGAGCAAUACGCUUUGAGAUGGCCUCGCGUCCGAUUAG
rnacentral:rRNA from 1 species